rfam:Porphyromonas sp. HMSC065F10 Porphyromonas_spHMPREF2890-1.0_Cont185.1, whole genome shotgun sequence.
GAUAAAGCGAAAGAAGGGCAUUCGGUGGAUGCCUUGGCUCUGAGAGGCGACGAAGGACGUGAUAAGCUGCGAAAAGCUGCGGGGAUCGGCAAAUACGACUUGAUCCGCAGAUAUCCGAAUGGGGCAACCCGGCAAGCUUGCUUGCCACCAUCCAUAAGAUGGAGCGAACGUGGGGAACUGAAACAUCUUAGUACCCAUAGGAAGAGAGAACAAUUUAGUGAUUCCCCUAGUAGAGGCGAUCGAACGGGGACGAGCCCAAACCGGCAGUGUCGCAAGGCAUUGCCGGGGUUGUAGGGCUCUCGAUAUCGCAAGAGUGACGCGAGGAGAAGUGACGUGGAAACGUCCACCAUAGACGGUGAUAGUCCGGUAACCGAAGCGAAGUGAAGCGUAGAGAGUACCUGAGUAGUGCGGGACACGUGCAAUCCUGUAUGAAUCCGGGAGGUCCAUCUCCCAAGGCUAAAUACUUCUCAGAGACCGAUAGUGAACAAGUACCGUGAGGGAAAGGUGAAAAGUACCGCUCAUAGCGGAUUGAAAUAGUACCUGAAACCGGAUGCCUACAAGCGGUCGGAGCCCUUCGGGGUGACGGCGUGCCUUUUGCAUAAUGAACCUACGAGUUACCAUGCACAGCAAGGCUAAGCGACCCAGUCGUGGAGCCGUAGCGAAAGCGAGUUUUAAAUGGCGUAUAGUUGUGUAGGGUAGACGCGAAACCAAGUGAUCUAUCCGUGUCCAGACUGAAGUGAGGGUAAAACCUCAUGGAGGGUCCAACGGAGAAAUGGUGAAAAAUUUCCCGAUGAGGUACGGAUAGGAGUGAAAGGCCAAUCAAACUUGGAGAUAGCUCGUACUCCCCGAAAUGCAUUUAGGUGCAGCCUUUAUGGUUAAGUACACGAGGUAGAGCGACUGAUUGGAUGCGAGAGCUUCACCGCUUAUCAAAUCCGGACAAACUCCGAAUGCGUGUAUGUAUUCAUGAAGAGUGAGGGUGCGGGAGCUAAGUUCCGUAUCCGAGAGGCAAAGAAGCCGGACCAUCAGCUAAGGCCCCCAAAUGAUGUCUAAGUUGAAUGAACGAAGUCGCAAUGCAGAGACAGCUAGGAUGUUGGCUUGGAAGCAGCCAUUCAUUUAAAGAGUGCGUAACAGCUCACUAGUCGAGGAUUGUGGCGUGGAUAAUAAUCGGGCAUAAGACAUCUGCCGAAGCUAUGGGAUCGAAAGAUCGGUAGGGGAGCAUUCCAGCGAGGUUGAAGGUGUGAGGUGACUCAUGCUGGACUCUCUGGAAGAGCAAAUGUAGGUAUAAGUAACGAUAAAGGAAGUGAGAAUCUUCCUCGCCGAAAGACUAAGGUUUCCUCUUCAACGUUCGUCGGAAGAGGGUUAGUCGAGACCUAAGGAGUAGCCGUAGUUGGCGUAUCCGAACGGAUGAAUGGGUUAAUAUUCCCAUACUGGUUACACGUAGUGGAUGCAAGGACGAAGGAGUGAAAGCCUCGCCUGCUGACGGAAUAGCAGGUUAAAGGGUGUAGGCGCUGAUGGGGUAGUAAAGUACGUCCCAGAGCCGAAUCUGAUAGUACCGGGAAUCUACGGAGGAACGGAUAGAGGUGUAAGCAGACUUCCAAGAAAAGUUGCUACAUGAUUGAUGUGUAAGCACUCGUACCACAAACCGACACAGGUAGUUGGGUUGAGUAUACUAAGGCGCGCGAGAUAGGCGUGGUUAAGGAACUAGGCAAAAUGGAUCUGUAACUUCGGGAAAAAGAUCGCCCUCCUCCGGGAGGGUUGCAGAGAAUAGGCUCAAGCGACUGUUUACCAAAAACAUAGGGCUGUGCGAAAUAGAAAUAUGCAGUAUACAGCCUGACACCUGCCCGGUGCCGGAAGGUUAAGAGGAGAGGUCAUCCGUAAGGAGAAGCCUUGAAUUGAAGCCCCGGUAAACGGCGGCCGUAACUAUAACGGUCCUAAGGUAGCGAAAUUCCUUGUCGGGUAAGUUCCGACCUGCACGAAUGGUGUAACGAUUUGAGCACUGUCUCGACCACGUACUCGGUGAAAUUGUAGUAACGGUGAAGAUGCCGUUUACCCGCAAUGGGACGAAAAGACCCCGUGAACCUUUACUAUAGCUUUACAUUGUAUUUGGGUAUCAGAUGUGUAGGAUAGGCCGGAGGCUGUGAUGUGGCGUCGCCAGAUGUCAUGGAGUCAUUGGUGAAAUACGGCCCUUUUGGUAUUUGAAUACUAACUCGCAAGUGCGAGGACAAUGUAUGGUGGGUAGUUUGACUGGGGCGGUCGCCUCCAAAAAAGUAUCGGAGGCUUCUAAAGGUACCCUCAAGACGAUUGGUAACCGUCUGUAAGAGUGUAAUGGCAGAAGGGUGCUUGACUGGGAGACUAACAAGUCGCACAGGUAGGAAACUAGAGCAUAGUGAUCCGGUGGUUCCGCAUGGUAGGGCCAUCGCUCAAAGGAUAAAAGGUACUCCGGGGAUAACAGGCUGAUCACUCCCAAGAGCUCAUAUCGACGGAGUGGUUUGGCACCUCGAUGUCGGCUCGUCACAUCCUGGGGCUGGAGAAGGUCCCAAGGGUUGGGCUGUUCGCCCAUUAAAGUGGCACGCGAGCUGGGUUCAGAACGUCGUGAGACAGUUCGGUCUCUAUCUAUUGUGGGCGUGGGAUAUUUGCGGGGAUUUGACACUAGUACGAGAGGACCGUGUCGGACGCACCGCCGGUGGAUCAGUUGUCCCGCCAGGGGCAUAGCUGAGUAGCUGUGUGCGGAUAGGAUAAGUGCUGAAAGCAUCUAAGCACGAAGCCGUCCUCAAGAUGAGAUAUCCAUAUAAGGGACGUUAGAGACGAUGACGUUGAUAGGCUGUAGGUGUAAGUGCAGUAAUGUAUUUAGCCGAGCAGUACUAAUUUCCCAAGAAUGCUUUAUCCC